rnacentral:rRNA from 1 species
AGAGUUUGAUCCUGGCUCAGAACAAACGCUGGCGGCGUGCCUAACACAUGCAAGUCGCACGAGAAAUCUUGAGCAAUCGGGAGAGUAAAGUGGCGCACGGGUGAGUAGCGCGUGGGUAACCUACCCCUGGAUUUGGGAUAACUCCGCGAAAGCGGGGCUAAUACCGAAUAAUAUGCCGGUUCCUUUGGGGAUUGGCAUCAAAGAUGGCCUCUGCAUGCAAGCUAUUGUCCAAGGAUGGGCCCGCGUACCAUUAGCUAGUUGGUGGGGUAAUGGCCUACCAAGGCUGCAAUGGUUAGCUGGUCUGAGAGGAUGACCAGCCACACUGGAACUGAGACACGGUCCAGACUCCUACGGGAGGCAGCAGUAGGGAAUCUUGCGCAAUGGGGGAAACCCUGACGCAGCAACGCCGCGUGGGUGAUGAAGGCCUUCGGGUCGUAAAGCCCUGUCAGGUGGAAAGAACCAUAUCGAUGCAAACAUCAUCGAUAUCUGACGGUACCACCAAAGGAAGCACCGGCUAACUCCGUGCCAGCAGCCGCGGUAAUACGGAGGGUGCAAGCGUUGUUCGGAAUUACUGGGCGUAAAGCGCGUGCAGGCGGUUGAGUAAGUCAGAUGUGAAAGCCUUCCGCUUAACGGGAGAAGUGCAUUUGAUACUGCCCAGCUGGAGUUCGGGAGAGGAGAGUGGAAUUCCCGGUGUAGAGGUGAAAUUCGUAGAUAUCGGGAGGAACACCGGUGGCGAAGGCGGCUCUCUGGCCCGAUACUGACGCUGAGACGCGAAAAGCGUGGGGGAGCAAACAGGAUUA